ACACACGCACACACACACACACACACACACACACACACACAAAUGUGGCUGGAGAGAGUGGACGGGCAGGCUCUGCAGCUGUUCAAACUUUCUCGGCCACCUUCCCAGGCCAUGAGGACUCCCCACUCAUGGGCCUGUCGGAACCGUGCUGGGGAAUGUGAGGAGUGAGGGCCCGCUCCAGACAUGCUCCAGGGACCCAGGCUGAUGGAGGAUCGAGUCCCAUCCAGACCUCCAUCAUCAUGGAGGCCAGAUGCACGUGCUGGUUCUUAAAACUUCUGCUCACAAGUGACUGAGACCUCUUCCACUCACAUUUCACUGGUCAAUCAAGUCAUGCCACCACACCUGAUUUCAACGGGGAUGAGAAGAACAAUUCUAUUUGCUCAGAAAGCAGAGAUCUGGAAAUAUUCGUAAACAGUCUUUAGUCUUCAACCAUCCAAGCUAGAAGACCUGGUUUCUGGGACCCUCCUUUGCCACCAACUAACUUUGUGUCCCCCUGGCAGGCCUCCACCCUUCUCUGGCCUGUAGAUCCCCACUUGCAAAAAGGUGUGGAGCAUGUUCCCCAGGUUUUUCUGGGCCUGACAACAGCACCACUAUCAUGGCCUCUGCUUUUCCUAGUGGGGGACAAUGAAUUUAUCUCCACUGCUCUUCCGUGGAGCAAGGACAGGAUGACAUUCAGGCCAGAGCACGACUCAGCCUUUGGGGAGUCUCCCAAAUACCCCAAGUUUUGAACCUCCACGUUCUUUUUUUUUUCUGAGAUGGAGUCUCACUCUGUCACCCAGGCUAGAGUGCAGUGGCGUGAUCUCGGCUUACUGCACCUCCGCCUCACAGAUUCAACAAUUCUCCUGUCUCAGCCUCCCUACUAGCUGGGAUUACAGGUGUGCACCACCACGCUCAGCUAAUUUUUGUAUUUUUAGUAAAGACAGGGUUUCACCAUAUUAGCCAGGCUGGUCUCGAACUCCUGACCUUAGGUGAUCCAACCACCUCGGCCUCCCAAAGUGUUGGGAUUACAGGUGUGAGCCACGAUGCCUGGCCUGAAGCUCCACAUUCAACUGUUACUCUGGGAAUGGUGUGUGGGCACAGCUGCUGCUCCUGCCAGCCAGGCAUGAGUUUCCAAAGGUGGACCCAGGCUUGGUUCUGGUUGGGGCUGGGUGGAACUCCCGGGAGGGGAGGAGAGAAGGGAAGUUGGUUAAUGAUGAGGGAUAAAGUUGGCAGGAGAAAAUGGGCUGAUGGUAUGGCUCAUCCAGCUACUUGUCCAGGCCCCGUCAGACCAUCAGGAGGGGGUCAACGAGGGAGUUCCAGUGGCCUUGGAGUCCUGUCCUCCUUGCUGUUCUUGGAAUUGCUUGGAUAUUUCACAGCCUCAGGGCCUUUGCAGGGUCUGUGGCUUCCCUGAGGUGUCCACGUGCCCUUCUCCCUCGCCUUCAAAUCUCAAUCAACUGUCAAGGCCUUCCCCAACCGCUCUCUCUAAAACAGCAAUCCCUCCCCUCAGCUCUGGGGGCUCCCUGUGUCCCCACUGCCUGGGAUUGUCCCCACAGCUGUGAUCUUCUAAAUGACUUUGGAGUUUUAUUCAUUUUGACUAUGAGGUUUCCACUCUCCAGAAGGUGAGCUGCGUCAGGACAGGAGCUUUCGCCUAUUUUGUUCUCUGCAUCACCCCUGCACCUAGAUGAGAGCCUGGUGGGUAGUAGGUCCUCUGUGCAUGGUUGCCAAUUGAAUGAAUUUAUAUCGCUGAGGCCAGGGAGCCACAAGCUACCUCUGAGUCAGCUGUUAAGGAGGAAAUAUAAACAAACUCCAGGCCCAGCCAUGCCAGCCAUGCCAGCCGUGCCUGACAAGCACUGUGGCUACACAGAGCCUGCUCAGGUGUGCAAAGGCUCACACGACAGCGCAAAGCCUCCUUGCAGCUCACCUGGCCAUCUGGGGCACAGCAACACUCAGGCAACAGAAGGCACCUCAGCUGAUGGCUGAAUGCAGUGGCUCAUGCCUGUAAUCCCAGCACUUUCGGAGGCAGGAGGAUCACUUGAGACCAGGAGUUUAAGACCAGCCUGGGCAACAUAAUGAGACCCCCACCAUCUCUAUUAUUUUUAAAAAUAGAAGGCACCCCAGUUUAGGUCUAGAGAGGCUCCCCCUCCUUAGCCUCCCACGGAGCAUCAUCUGCAGUUUUGCAAAACCGUCCUGUGUUCUCUGUGCCCUGUGGAAAUGGCCAAACAGCUCCUCAGUGCCCCAAGAGAUAGAAUCAUGAAAAAAGCAGCUCGUAGUUCAAAAUGGAAGAACAUGAUAAAAGCAAGGCCCCUCCAUGGGUGUGAAGAGAUUUCUCUUUUACAGAGGAAAUUUGGGUGGGGGAGGCAGGACUUCUGCUGGAUCCACAGAGGAUCUUCCAUUAGCAAAAGGACAAUCAUUGUGAGUGAAAAGUGAAAAUUCUAAACUUAGAACCAGAAGGUGGGGAAGUGAAGAAAGUUCUUCCUUAUCUUCCCCCAACCCUUGUGGUUUUCAUCCCCAUCUCAGCCCAUGUCUUUUGCCCCUGACUUCCCAGGUGUGGGAGUAGACUGAAGAUGUGGAAUGUGUGGGAGGCUAGAGAGUAGGGAGAAUGUGGGUCUGCGUCUUUUUUGGAAGGAUUGCAGCCAAAAAUGCAACGUUAUACAGCAGCCAGCAUGCACUCAGGUGUGGGGGCCAAUGCCGGCCACACAUUUCCAGAAGGUUCUGUUGGGCCCCUAGGGGACCAGGCAGCAUGGGGACUGCAGCGGAGCCCGGGAGGACAGGGGCUGGGCAAGCUCUGUUACCCAUUUGUUGGGCUCUGAGAGGCUUGGGCCACACCUCUGAGCCCCGUGUCACUAUAGACAUUGAGAAGUGGACUCUCGCUAGCCCAAACUCAGCUUUGUGGCUCUUGGAAAGGACAGGGCCUGUCACAUGAUACUCCUGGCCCAGCACAAAGCUCCCAAUACAAUGGACCAUGCUGUGUAUCCACAAGUGGCAGCGAAGGCAGUGCGCUGAAGUCUGGGCAAAUGCAUGGCCGAUCCCAGGUUAUUACCAUAUUGGAUCGUGUGGUCUCUGCUCCAGGCUGGCUCGGUUCAGGGUUGGAUGAAUUUCUGCAUCCCCCCAACCCCGGCCCAACUACCCCCAACCCUGCAUGCUAAUGGAAGCGGAAUUAGGCAGAAUUCUGCACGCCUCCAAGUCAGGCGUUUCCGACGACUGUUCCUGUGGGAGUCAGAGGGCAGGAUGGGAUGGGGUCAGCUGAGCCCUACAUCUGAAGCCUUGCCUCUAAAAAUAGCCCUUUCUUCCUGUGUCCAGGGCUCUGCCACGGGCCCUGCAGGAAAACGUCUGUUUCCAAGGCGGACGGAGCAUCUGGAAGCUCCGAGCAGCCACGCGCUUAUGCUCAGGCCUCAGCCAAGUGUCACCGGGGCCCUGGGGGCACCAUCUGGCCUUCACUUCCUCGAGGCUCCUGUCCCCUUCACUGAAUAAAUCCUGCAUGUUUGGAGCCUGAGUUACAGCAGAUCCAGCGGGUGUGUUGGGUGCAGCAGGUGUGCAUCCCAGGGGGCGCUGAGGCGAACCUACCAGAACCUUCUCUUCCUGCUGCCCUGGGAGGCUGUGUCUGCCCAAGCCAGCCACGGGGCCGGGUCCACUGCCUGGGGAUGGCUGUCCCCUGAGCUGCUGCUGUGUCCCCACCACGGAGGCUCGUCCAGCUGCCCGGGCAUGAGUCAUGGGCCAGCCCUGGGCGCUGCUGCGGAUUCAGAAGCUCGAGCCGUUUCCUGCAGAUAAGCGACAAGCGCCAGGGAAACCUGGCGGGGGUGGCCGCCCUGUGAGAUAGCGCUUCCUUCAAAGCCCCCCAAGCACUAAUUAGCCAUUCCAAGCAUAGUUUCAACAGCAUUUAGGGAUUUCCUCAUCAAAAUAAACUUCCUCCCAUAUUAUCUUCA